rnacentral:rRNA from 1 species
GCGGACGGGUGAGUAACCGUGGGAACGUGCCCUUUGGUUCGGAACAACUCAGGGAAACUUGAGCUAAUACCGGAUGUGCCCUUCGGGGGAAAGAUUUAUCGCCAUUGGAGNNNNCNNNNNNNGANUAGCUAGUUGGUGAGGUAAAGGCUCACCAAGGCGACGAUCAGUAGCUGGUCUGAGAGGAUGAUAAGCCACAUUGGGACUGAGACACGGCCCAAACUCCUACGGGAGGCAGCAGUGGGGAAUCUUGCGCAAUGGGCGAAAGCCUGACGCAGCCAUGCCGCGUGAAUGAUGAAGGUCUUAGGAUUGUAAAAUUCUUUCACCGGGGACGAUAAUGACGGUACCCGGAGAAGAAGCCCCGGCUAACUUCGUGCCAGCAGCCGCGGUAAUACGAAGGGGGCUAGCGUUGCUCGGAAUUACUGGGCGUAAAGGGAGCGUAGGCGGACUGUUUAGUCAGAGGUGAAAGCCCAGGGCUCAACCUUGGAAUUGCCUUUGAUACUGGCAGUCUUGAGUACGGAAGAGGUAUGUGGAACUCCGAGUGUAGAGGUGAAAUUCGUAGAUAUUCGGAAGAACACCAGUGGCGAAGGCGACAUACUGGUCCGUUACUGACGCUGAGGCUCGAAAGCGUGGGGAGCAAACAGGAUUAGAUACCCUGGUAGUCCACGCCGUAAACGAUGAGUGCUAGUUGUCGGCAUGCAUGCAUGUCGGUGACGCAGCUAACGCAUUAAGCACUCCGCCUGGGGAGUACGGUCGCAAGAUUAAAACUCAAAGGAAUUGACGGGGGCCCGCACA